AAGGAUUUAAGUUAAAAAAACUUUUAACCUUCAAAGUUAACAAUAGAAGCUUUCUAAGCCUUA
rnacentral:tRNA from 1 species